AAAAUCCGUCGACUUUAAAAAUCGUGAGGGUUCAAGUCCCUCUAUCCCCCCUUCUUCCCCCAAAAGCCUAUUUGACUCCCAAAAUAGUUAUCCUAUUCCU
rnacentral:tRNA from 1 species